rnacentral:rRNA from 1 species
UACGUAGGGUGCAAGCGUUUGUCCGGAUUUAUUGGGCGUAAAGAGCUCGUAGGCGGUUUGUCGCGUCGGAUGUGAAAACCCAGGGCUCAACCCUGGGCCUGCAUUCGAUACGGGCAGACUAGAGUAUGGCAGGGGAGACUGGAAUUCCUGGUGUAGCGGUGAAAUGCGCAGAUAUCAGGAGGAACACCGGUGGCGAAGGCGGGUCUCUGGGCCAAAACUGACGCUGGAGGAGCGAAAGCGUGGGGAGCGAACAGG